GAGGACUGCUGCCCUGAGACCGCUGUGUGCAUUUUUGGAAUGUUCCAAAUGUGUGUUACGUCCAUACAAAAGAAAUUCCAAGCCUGCAAUAGUGGGCUCUAUCAACUGUCCAGGGCAAAGUCGGUCUACCCUGAUGGCACUACCUGUUACUUGAUGUCUGGUAACCAUGGCUGACCUCAACGUAGUGGGUGUGGACUACAGGAGCCCUGAUGUCAAGAAUUAAUAUAGACGGUGAUGAUCGCAAGGGUGCCUCCAUAAGGUGCCAGAAGUCCUAGCCUGGAGCCAGAGGCUGCUAUUGCAAGCCAGAUGGGGGAUGAUCUAUGUAGGUGUCAGAAAGGUGGUGUACGCAGGAAGGCGAGGCAAAGAUGUGAUUAGACUACCUUCAAUAAGACAGGGCAACAGACACAUGACAGAAAGUGACUGGGAGAGAGAGACUUUGAAAGGACUGGCCUGAAACUGAACUGGGUUUCCAAGUUUAUGGUUGAGUUUAAAUGUUAAUGCUGUU